UACGGAGGGUGCAAGCGUUAUCCGGAUUUACUGGGUUUAAAGGGUGUGUAGGCGGGCUAUUAAGUCAGUGGUGAAAUCUCCGGGCCCAACCCGGAAACUGCCAUUGAUACUAUUAGUCUUGAAUUUUGUUGAGGUAGGCGGAAUAAGUCAUGUAGCGGUGAAAUGCAUAGAUAUGACUUAGAACACCAAUUGCGAAGGCAGCUUACUAAGCAAAUAUUGACGCUGAGGCACGAAAGCGUGGGGAUCAAACAGG
rnacentral:rRNA from 1 species